AUAACUUUACCACUCCGAGCAACACGUUUACAGGACGGUAUCCUCCAUCUAUACCUGAAACCUCAUCUGCGAGAGAAGAAAAAGGCUUUCAUCACAUUUAAAAGUAACAGCAGAUUGACCAGUAGGUUGUGCCUGCACCGCUUUGUCCUCCACCAUGUCAUCCAGCACUACACCACAUUUCUU